rnacentral:rRNA from 1 species
UACGGGGGGGGUAAGCGUUGUUCGGAAUUACUGGGCGUAAAGGGCUCGUAGGCGGCCAACUAAGUCGGACGUGAAAUCCCUCGGCUUAACCGGGGAACUGCGUCUGAUACUGGAUGGCUUGAGUGUGGGAGAGGGAUGCGGAAUUCCAGGUGUAGCGGUGAAAUGCGUAGAUAUCUGGAGGAACACCGGUGGCGAAGGCGGCAUCCUGGACCAUUACUGACGCUGAUGAGCGAAAGCCAGGGGAGCAAACGGG